CACCAAUACUCUUCUUCAAUUAUUUUCAUUUUCCUCCAUUAACACAAUAAAAAACAACCACAAAACACUAAAUUAAAAAUAAAAUUCUCUAUAAAACACCUUUUAUUGUUUAUUCUCCACAACAUCCACAACACUCAAAUUCCUCCAUUAACAACCUCAAAUCCAUUCUUCAUUAAGACUCUUCUUCAAUUUUUUUUAUUUUCCUCCAUUAACACCAUCAAAGAACAACCACAAAACACUAAAUUAAAAAUAAAACUCUCUAUUAAACACCUUUUAUUCUUUAUUCUCCAAAACAUCCACAACACUCAA
rnacentral:lncRNA from 1 species